rnacentral:rRNA from 1 species
AGCGGCAGGCUUAACACAUGCAAGUCGAGGGGCAGCACGGGUAGCAAUACCUGGUGGCGACCGGCGCAAGGGUGCGUAACGCGUGAGCAACAUGCCCUAUACAGGGGGAUAAUCCAGGGAAACUUGGUCUAAUAUCCCAUAGUAUUUAGAGGAGACAUCUUCUAUAAAUUAAAGCUUCGGUGGUAUAGGAUUGGCUCGCGUGACAUUAGCUAGAUGGUGAGGUAACGGCUCACCAUGGCAAUGAUGUCUAGGGGUUCUGAGAGGAAGGCCCCCCACACUGGGACUGAGACACGGCCCAGACUCCUACGGGAGGCAGCAGUGAGGAAUAUUGGACAAUGGAUGGAAAUCUGAUCCAGCCAUGCCGCGUGCAGGAAGACAGCCCUAUGGGUUGUAAACUGCUUUUAUAUGGGAGCAAUAAGGUCUACGUGUAGACUGAUGAGAGUACCAUAUGAAUAAGCAUCGGCUAACUCCGUG